rnacentral:misc_RNA from 1 species
AAGUCUACAAAAUUUGUCGAACAGAAAGAUCACAGUGGCAGGGGCAAAGGUGGUUAAAAAAACAGAUGCAAGAGAUUGUCUGCCGCUUAUAAAAGGAGACAAGGGCGCUACAGUUGCUGAUUCCGUCUGCUGGAAAACAACAAACACAGGAAUCUGAGCAAAUAUUACUAUUUUCUACCGGACUCAUUUAAGCUGAGACAGAAAAAGAAGCACAAUGGGCAAAGGUCUCCAUGUGGUGCUGUUGGCCAUCGUCCUUACCUGUACCUCAGCAGAAGAUUCCGACGACAAGGGUGCGACAGUGUCAGAAACUGUGACUAUUGCACCUCCAGGAGAGGAGCAGGUGGAGGAAAAAAUAGAUACAGAGAAGAGAUCCAGCGACAAUAACUUCUGCUUUGUGAAGGAGUCAUGUACAACCAUGGCGACAUCUUUACAGGCCACAACCCCUGCGUGAAAUACCGUUGUGAAUUUGGAGUUCAAAGAAUGUUGGAAGAUGGGUGUUAUUCCGGACAAACACGCUCCUGCUACCCGAUCAACGCCGACGUUGAAAUCGAAUGCGUGACCUACCGCUGCACCAAGAGGGUGGACAGCAGGUUCUUCUACUACAGCCUCGACCCCGUCUACUUAGCUAAGUGCAAGGAUUACUAUGGACGCUGUAGACGACCUGGGGAGGUCUUCCCCUACGUACUGCGCGGCCGUCUCUACCACAACUGUGUUUGCCGCCCACUCGGCCCUCUGAAUAUUCAGUACGAGUGUCACAGCAGUUGAGCAAGAACGUCACAUCCACGAUGUCACACGUCCAACUUCUCUUCAAACUGGACGAUGUUGAAUACAAGCCUCUAUUGAAAUGUGAAGACGCCAUGUAACCAGCUCAAGUCUACUGACAUCUACCUGUUAAAAUUUAGGGUGGUUGCUACUGUAUUGGAAUUGACGAUGAGAACAAACUUCAGUGUUCGAGGUCCUAAUGUUGUUUUUUUUUUCACUUCCGUAGCAUGUUGUUUACUUUAUCAAAGGCGGGUCAGUGGGAUAUGAAAAGUACAAAGUAGAAGAAAGUCUUUGAAACAUCUAGUAAUGUAGACUAUGUCAGACACUACAUGUCAGGCGACGUGGCAAAGACCAAUUGUAGAAUGCUAGCGGUGAUAGAAAUAAAAAAGUCUACUUCUUGAACCACUUGAAUUGUCCCAUCGUCAGUAACCCACCAUUAAAUGCAACAAAUAAAAAUUAAUGAAAUUAA